AACGAACGCUGGCGGCAUGCCUAACACAUGCAAGUCGAACGAGAUCUUCGGGUCUAGUGGCGCACGGGUGCGUAACGCGUGGGAAUCUGCCCUUUGGUUCGGAAUAACAGUUGGAAACGACUGCUAAUACCGGAUGAUGACGAAAGUCCAAAGAUUUAUCGCCAGAGGAUGAGCCCGCGUAGGAUUAGCUAGUUGGUGUGGUAAAGGCGCACCAAGGCGACGAUCCUUAGCUGGUCUGAGAGGAUGAUGAGCCACACUGGGACUGAGACACGGCCCAGACUCCGGCGGGAUGCAGCAGUGUGUAAUAUUGGACAAUGGGCGAAAGCCGGAUCCAGCAAUGCCGCGUGAGUGAUGAAGGCCUUAGGGUUGUAAAGCUCCUUUACCCGGGAUGAUAAUGACAGUACCGGGAGAAUAAGCUCCGGCUAACUCGGUGCCAGCCGCCGCCGUAA
rnacentral:rRNA from 1 species